rnacentral:tRNA from 1 species
GGGCCCGUAGCUCAGCGGCAGAGCACUCGGCUCAUAACCGAUUGAUCGUAGGUUCGAAUCCUACCGGGCCCACCA